rnacentral:tRNA from 1 species
GUACUUAUAGCUCAAUGGUAGAGCAGAAUAUUGUUAAUAUUUGUAUAGGUGUUCGAUUCAUCUUAAGGGCU